AGGUAGUGACAAGAAAUAACAAUACGGGGCUUAAUGUCUUGUAAUUGGAAUGAUGGGAAUUUAAACCUCUUCCAGAGUAUCAAUUGGAGGGCAAGUCUGGUGCCAGCAGCCGCGGUAAUUCCAGCUCCAAUAGCGUAUAUUAAAAUUGUUGCAGUUAAAAAGCUCGUAGUUGAAUUUCUGCUGCAUUUCAUUUCUCUUUCUGAGUUUGUUUUUGCGGCUUAUUUCGGUUUGAUUUUUUCUUUCCGGAUGAUUACUUUGAGAAAAUUAGAGUGCUCAAAGCAGGCUUUUGCCUUGAAUAGUUUAGCAUGGAAUAAUAAAGUAGGACUUUGGUUCUAUUUUGUUGGUUUUAGGUACCAAAGUAAUGGUUAAUAGGAACAGUUGGGGGCAUUCGUAUUUAACUGUCAGAGGUGAAAUUCUUAG
rnacentral:rRNA from 1 species